rnacentral:rRNA from 1 species
CCUACGGGGGGCAGCAGUGAGGAAUAUUGGUCAAUGGGCGAGAGUCUGAACCAGCCAAGCCGCGUGAAGGAUGAAGGAUCUAUGGUUUGUAAACUGCUUUUAUAUGGGAAUAAAGUGAGGUACGUGUCUCUGUUUGUAUGUAUCAUACGAAUACGCAUCGGCUAACUCCGUGCCAGCAGGCGCGGUAAUACGGAGGAUGCGAGCGUUAUCCGGAUUUAUUGGGUUUAAAGGGUGCGUAGGUGGUUAGUUAAGUCAGCGGUGAAAGUUUGAGGCUCAACCAUAAAAUUGCCGUGGAAACUGGUUGACGGGAGAAUAUUUGAGGUAGGCGGAAUGCAUGGGGUAGCGGUGAAAGGCAUAGAUAUCAGACAGAACUCCGAUUGCGAAGGCAGCGUACGAAACUAUAACUGACACUGAGGCACGAAAGCGUGGGGAGCAAACAGGAUUAGAUACCCUAGUAGUC